rnacentral:lncRNA from 1 species
UCUGAAGUCAGAGGGCGGCUCUCACUACUUUUGUCCUGUCAUCCUGGAUCUCUAGGGAGGCAGGCUUUUCCUUCCUAAAUUUCUUCUGUCCUAGCUUGUCCUUAUCUGACCCCAAAGUGCUUCCGGCCACACCUUCUAGGCUUGGACCUCAGGCCAAGUCUCCUGCCUAGGCAGAGGUGAGACUGGAGAGCUUGGGAGCUGCAGCCGUGGGACACUUUGGUUACCGCCCACCCAGUCUUUCUCCGAGUGGCUGUGCCAAACAGGCUGGGCAGCGGCUACUGCCCCCAGAGGAACAGCUGGUAGCCUCAGGGAAGAGGGCCCCAGGGAGGCAGAGCAUCAUCUCAGCCACCAAGGAUUAUAACCUCAUAUACCACCACACCUGGCGUUUUUUUCUAAGUGUUCUGGCCUCGAGCUUACAAGGUAAGAACUUAACUGACAGAAUGGUCUCCUCAGGCUCUCCUCCUUACCAGGCCUGCCCUAUUCAGCCAGGACCUCUUCUGCUUCUUCCCUUCUCAUGGCGGGCUCUCUGCUCACACAGACAUCCUCAGGGACCCAUUUAACUCUAAGGUUUAACUUGUACACAGAUCAAACCUCCCACAUCUGUGGGAGUCUAGCAAGGGCCACAGUUGCAAAAGACACAGUGCCUGACCCCUUUGCUGCCUGGCUCAAUCAAGGCAACACAAAUUCCUUGCAGGAUGUACUCAGUAGCCAUUAACUGGAAUGUUGUAGUGUCCAAUGUACAGCCCAUGGUAGGGGCUGGUCUUGUUUGGAAGUUCUGCAUCUCUAGUGGGGCUAAGCAAUGUCCAUUUGAGUAUAAGAUGAACAAAUGAUCCUAAGUCCAUAGGCAGAUCCAUGCAUGUCCACAAUCAUGCAACAGUCAUACAAUGUCCCCGUGUGAGCGUGUGUGGUGUGUGAGCAUGCUGAGUGGGCAGGUGAAUGCAUACAGAGGCCAGAGGAAGACAUUGUGUGUCCUCCUGGAUUCUAUAUUCCUUUGAUACAGGAUCCCAGAGCUAGACACGCAGCCUGUGAAACCCAUUGGUCCUCCUACCUCUGCCCUCAACAGCUGGGGUUUCAGGCAUAUAGGACCAACCAAAUCCAACUUUUUUAUGCAGUGGGGAUUUGAACCUCAGUCCUCAUGCUUUUGCCAUGAACCAUCUUCCCAGCCCCUGCCUUUGACUUUUCAUUCUCUUUGGUUCCCUUGCUUAAUUAAACUACUUGGCAAGCAAUUUCUGCUCGGCUUUGCAUGCCUAUUUCUGUGUUGGCAACUGUGGAAACAUUUCUCCUGAUAUUGGCAGAGAACUGCAG